UGCGUAGGCGGUUAUGUGUGUCAGAUGUGAAAGCCCAUGGCUCAACCAUGGAACUGCAUUUGAAACUGCAUAACUUGAGUAUCGGAGAGGUAGAUGGAGUUCUAGGUGUAGCGGUGAAAUGCGUAGAUAUCUAGAAGAACACCAGCGGCGAAAGCGAUCUACUGGACGAAUACUGACGCUGAGGCACGAAAGCCAGGGGAGCGAAGA
rnacentral:rRNA from 1 species